rnacentral:rRNA from 1 species
AUUGAACGCUGGCGGCAGGCCUAACACAUGCAAGUCGAGCGGAGCGGCGGACGGGUGCGUAAUGCCUAGGAAUCUGCCUGUUAGUGGGGGAUAACGUUCGGAACCGGGCGCUAAUACCGCAUACUCUCAGAUGAGCCUAGGUCGGAUUAGCUAGUUGGUGGGGUAAGGGCCUACCAGGGCGACGAUCCGUAACUGGUCUGAGAGGAUGAUAAGUCACACCGGAACUGAGACACGGUCCAGACGCCUACGGGAGGCAGCAGUGGGGAAUAUUGGACAAUGGGCGAAAGCCUGAUCCAGCCAUGCCGCGUGAGUGAAGAAGGUCUUCGGAUUGUAAAGCACUUUAAGUUGGGAGGCGUUACCAACAGAAGAAGCACCGGCUAACUUCGUGCCAGCCGCCGCGGUAAUUC